rnacentral:rRNA from 1 species
UGGAUCCAGACUUUGAUUAUGGCUCAGGAUGAACGCUAGCUACAGGCUUAACACAUGCAAGUCGAGGGGCAGCAUGACGAUAGCUUGCUAUCGUUGAUGGCGACCGGCGCACGGGUGAGUAACGCGUAUCCAACCUGCCCUUGUCCAUCGGAUAACCCGUCGAAAGGCGGCCUAACACGAUAUGCAGUUCUCAGCAGGCAUCUAACGAGAACGAAAUGUAAAGGAGAAGGAUGGGGAUGCGUCUGAUUAGCUUGUUGGCGGGGUAACGGCCCACCAAGGCGACGAUCAGUAGGGGUUCUGAGAGGAAGGUCCCCCACAUUGGAACUGAGACACGGUCCAAACUCCUACGGGAGGCAGCAGUGAGGAAUAUUGGUCAAUGGGCGAGAGCCUGAACCAGCCAAGUAGCGUGCAGGAUGACGGCCCUGUGGGUUGUAAACUGCUUUUAUGCGGGGAUAAAGUGAGCCACGUGUGGCUUAUUGCAGGUACCGCAUGAAUAAGGACCGGCUAAUUCCGUGCCAGCAGCCGCAGUAAUACGGAAGGUCCGGGCGUUACCCGGAUUUAUUGGGUUUAAAGGGAGCGUAGGCCGUCUGGUAAGCGUGUUGUGAAAUGUCGGGGCUCAACCUGGGCAUUGCAGCGCGAACUGUCAGACUCGAGUGCGCGGGAAGUAGGCGGAAUUCGUCGUGUAGCGGUGAAAUGCUUAGAUAUGACGAAGAACUCCGAUUGCGAAGGCAGCCUGCUGUAGCGCAACUGACGCUGAAGCUCGAAAGCGUGGGUAUCGAACAGGAUUAGAUACCCUGGUAGUCCACGCGGUAAACGAUGGAUGCUCGCUGUUUGCGUCUGACGUAAGCGGCCAAGCGAAAGCGUUAAGCAUCCCACCUGGGGAGUACGCCGGCAACGGUGA